UUUUUCUGAUGUAAAUUGUUCUUGCAACACUAAUGUUGGUGGGUUGGUGAAGGUCUUUCACAUUUAUGGCAUUGAAAUUGUGCUAUCCUAUUUUCAUUCUCGCUCUUUCCCAUUUGAACGCGAGAAUGGAACAGAGGAAGGGUGAGGAAGUCUCUGGAAAAUCAUCACAGUCUUCUCCCCCUCCUCCUCCUUCUCGCUCGCAUUUCUUGUUCCUCACCGUCGGUCUGCGUCGUUUUCACUGCCACCCUCUUCUCCAUCUUCAUUCGUCCAUUAAAGGGGGUAAGUAGCUGAUUUCUUUCCCUGUUAUUGCUCUCUGUUUCAUCCCUGGUUCGAGCUGUGAGUGGUCUUCAAGUUUCUGUCUUCCUCAAUAGCUGAAAGUUUCAUGUGUGUAUGGUAGUUCAACUCUUUCUUCUAGUGGUCAGAAUUGUUGGUUUUUCUCCUGGGCGUAGCAAGCUGAAGCGUUGGUCAAGUGUUGGCUCUUAGUUGCUGCACUAAAGUUUCGUUUGAGGAUUACAUGAGUUAUGAUUAGCAGUUUUGGAAAGCAAUCAUAUUGCAUCUUCUGUAUAAGGGGAAUUUGCAAAGUAGGUGGCUAUGUAAAGGUGC